CAGUCGCCACGGUAACACGGAGGGCGCGAGCGUUACCCGGAUUUACUGGGCGUAAAGGGCGUGUAGGCGGCCUGGGGCGUCCCAUGUGAAAGGCCACGGCUCAACCGUGGAGGAGCGUGGGAUACGCUCAGGCUAGAGGGUGGGAGAGGGUGGUGGAAUUCCCGGAGUAGCGGUGAAAUGCGCAGAUACCGGGAGGAACGCCGAUGGCGAAGGCAGCCACCUGGUCCACUUCUGACGCUGAGGCGCGAAAGCGUGGGGAGCAAACCGGAUUAGAUACCCCGGUAGUCCCUGUCUCUUAUAC
rnacentral:rRNA from 1 species